CGGAAUGCGGAGGACAUUAUUGAUUUUGAUGGGGUUGUAGCUGGCCUUUGUUUUCCGAGGCAUGUGCACGCCCCGCUCACUUCCAAAUUCUUAUACACCUGUGCACACCCUGUAGGUUGGUUUGAGUCGUCCGGCUUUGGCCUUCCUAUGUAACCAUUUAUUAUAAACCCCAUACAGUCCAUAGAAUGUAAACCGCGUUUGAAACGCAUUUAAAUACAACUUUCAGCAACGGAUCUCUUGGCUCUCGCAUCGAUGAAGAACGCAGCGAAAUGCGAUAAGUAAUGUGAAUUGCAGAAUUCAGUGAAUCAUCGAAUCUUUGAACGCACCUUGCGCUCCUUGGUAUUCCGAGGAGCAUGCCUGUUUGAGUGUCAUGGAAUUAUCAACCCUACCACCUUUGUUUGGUGGGUGUGGGCUUGGAUUUGGAGGUUUCUGUCGGACGGGGAUUUAUUAACGUUCAACUCCUCUUGAAUAUAUUAGCUUGAACCUUUGUGUAUCUCGCUCAUCCGGUGUGAUAGUUUGUCUACGCCGGGGGCUUACACUUUGUAUUGGGGAUUUCAAGCUUCCAAUCGUCCGUUCGGACAAUUGUCUUUGACACCUCUGACCUCAAAUCAGGUAGGAUUACCCGCUGAACUUAAGCUUUAA
rnacentral:rRNA from 1 species